rnacentral:rRNA from 1 species
UACGUAGGGGGCAAGCGUUAUCCGGAUUCACUGGGUGUAAAGGGAGCGUAGACGGCGACGCAAGUCUGGAGUGAAAGCCCGGGGCCCAACCCCGGGACUGCUCUGGAAACUGCGGCGCUGGAGUACGGGAGGGGCAGGCGGAACUCCUGGUGUAGCGGUGAAAUGCGUAGAUAUCAGGAGGAACACCGGCGGCGAAGGCGGCCUGCUGGACCGUGACUGACGUUGAGGCUCGAGAGCGUGGGGAGCAAACAGG